rfam:Ornithorhynchus anatinus Cont21276.5, whole genome shotgun sequence.
CCGUCCCGGCCCUUGCAGCUGCCCCCCUGUGCCGAGCUGUGGCGGGGGGGUGUCCGGGCGGGACACACAGUAACCCUAACCCUCUCCAUUUAGGAGGGCCCCCCCGAGGCUGGGGGUGGUCCUUAAAGGCAAGAGAGGACAAA